UGGGGAAUAUUGGACAAUGGGCGAAAGCCUGAUCCAGCCAUGCCGCGUGAGUGACGAAGGCCUUAGGGUUGUAAAACUCUUUCGUCGGGGACGAUAAUGACGGUACCCGAAGAAGAAGCUCCGGCUAACUUCGUGCCAGCAGCCGCGGUAAUACGAAGGGAGCUAGCGUUGUUCGGAAUCACUGGGCGUAAAGCGCACGUAGGCGGAUAGUUAAGUCAGGGGUGAAAUCCUGGGGCUCAACCCCAGAACUGCCUUUGAUACUGGCUGUCUCGAGGUCGAGAGAGGUUGGUGGAAUUCCUAGUGUAGAGGUGAAAUGCGUAGAUAUCUGGAGGAACACCGGUGGCGAAGGCGGCAUCCUGGACCAAUACUGACGCUGAGGAGCGAAAGCUAGGGGAGCAAACGGGAUUAGAUACCCGUGUAGUCCCUGAGCGGGCUGGCAAGGCGCAU
rnacentral:rRNA from 1 species